GUCAAUGGAAAAGAAAGAGAGUGGAAUUUAUUUUGGAGCAGAUGAGGCUCUACCUAGCUGUGAAGAAUUACAUUCGAACACAAAUCAUCAGCAAGAAAAUUAACACCAAAUUUUUCCCGGAAGAAAAUACAAAGAAAUUAAAGUUGAAGUACUAUAAUUUAACGAUUCAGCUGGAUCAACAUGAGGGAUCCUAUUUGUCUAUUUGUAAGCACUGCAGAGCAAUAUAUGAUAUUCCCUGUAUACAGGCAGAAAGUGAAAAAUGGCAGCAGGCUCUGAAGAGUGUUGUACUCUAUGUUAUCCUGGCUGCUUUCGACAAUGAACAGUCUGAUUUGGUUCAUCGAAUAAGUGGUGACAAGAAGUUAGAAGAAAUUCCCAAAUACAAGGAUCUUUUAAAGCUUUUUACCACAAUGGAGUUGAUGGGUUGGUGCGCACUUGUUGAGGACUAUGGAAUGGAAUUAAGAAAAGGUUCCCCUGAGAGUCCUGCAACUGAUGUUUUUGGUUCUACAGAGGAAGGCGAGAAAAGGUGGAAAGGCUUGAAGAACAGAGUUGUUGAACAUAAUAUUAGAAUAAUGGCCAAGUAUUAUACUCGGAUAACAAUGAAAAGGAUGGCACAGCUUCUGGAUCUGUCUGUUGAUGAGUCUGAAGCCUUUCUCUCAAAUCUAGUAGUUAACAAAACCAUCUUUGCUAAAGUAGACAGAUUAGCAGGAAUUAUCAACUUCCAGAGACCCAAGGAUCCAAAUAAUUUAUUAAAUGACUGGUCUCAGAAACUGAACUCAUUAAUUUCUCUGGUUAACAAAACUACACAUCUCGUAGCCAAAGAGGAGAUGAUACAUAAUCUACAAUAAAGGUCUUAAUGCUUUUAGAAAACAGUUACAAUUGGAAGUAAUUAAAAAAAAAAAAAAAGACUGUUAUAAUGGUAUAUAUGUUG